UACGAAGGGGGCUAGCGUUGCUCGGAAUCACUGGGCGUAAAGGGUGCGUAGGCGGGUCUUUAAGUCAGGGGUGAAAUCCUGGAGCUCAACUCCAGAACUGCCUUUGAUACUGAGGAUCUUGAGUUCGGGAGAGGUGAGUGGAAACUGCGAGUGUAGAGGUGAAAAUUCGUAGAUAUUCGGAAAGAACACCAGUGGCGAAGGGCGACUGACUGGACAAGUAUUGACGCUGAGGUGCGAAAAGCGUGGGGGAGCAAACAGGAUU
rnacentral:rRNA from 1 species